rnacentral:rRNA from 1 species
GACCCCAGAAAGACUAUCUGGUUGAUAGGUCGAAGGUGUAAGUGCAGCAAUGUAUUUAGCUUAUCGAUACUAAUAGGUCGAGGACUUGACCAAUAUU